AAUCUUUCUAAUUCUAUUCUCAUAAGAUGAUCUUGGAUUUGUUCCUUUAGCACAGACUCUUUAGUGCAGUCCUGAUUUCUGCAUUAAUGAAUUGAGAAGAUGACAUCAGGCUCUUAGGGAGAAUGGGAAGAAGACUGAAGGGGGGCUGGAGCCUGUUAAGGAAAUUUUGUGACAACAGUCACCACGUGAAGGAGACAGAAACAAUGAAGUUCAGACAGUGAAGCAGGGAAUCAGUGAUUUGCACAUCUCCGACUGUGCUCCGCCCCUGAGAGAAGAAUGCAUACUUGCUCAACUCUUCCCAUAAAAUGAUCAACUGGGGAUAUAGUGACACUGAAGUCAUAAAUGGAUACAAAGGGUAUCCAUAGUGCACUUUAGGAGAAAGAUUUCAUAACACCAAGAAAUGCUAUCAGUUUGUAUUUAUGAUUCAGGCCAGGCUGGAUUGGGCCCUGAGCAGCCUGAUCUAGUGGGUGGAAACCUGCCCAUCACAAGGGGUUGGAAUAGAUGAUCUUAAAAAUCCCUUCCAACUGAAGCCUUUAUGUGAUUUAGUACAUCUGCUCAUGAAAAUUUAACUGUUAUAUCAGUGGUGUAAAUACUUGAACUUCAUUCGAAAGAAACAAGCCAUCAAAAACUAAAAUGGCAACAGAACUCCAGCAAUAUCCGCACUAACCUAGACCAUCAUGCGUACAUGCCUCAGAGCUUAGAACUCUUUAGAACCAUGGCUCAUAUUUAAAAACUAUCUGCUGCUGUGAUUACCAGAUAUAUUGAAUUAAAACUGUAUUCAGACUAACUGUAAUUUUGAGUGUUGUCAGACACUUUCUGUGUUGAAAUGGCUUUUCAGACAGGCUUAUAGAAACCGAACACUGUACAGCUCCUUAUGUGUCCAAGAAGACAGAAAAAAACAUUCAAUCUUUACAAUACAGAGAGGAAUUGACUUACAUGGACUUCAUAGGAGUUUGACUUCCUAGAUGUCACAAAAGUCAAACAUGAUGAACCACUUGAAAUGCUGGAAAAUUUGAUUCUAAUUCUUUGAAGAAAAUAUAAAUGGAGAUUUGUACAGAGUAUCUUUUCUGAGGUCUUCCUUCCUUCAGGUUCACAGUGCUAUCAGCAGCACAAAAGGGUUGCAAUUCUAUUUCUCAGGAGUGGAGGCUGAAAGCUCCAAACUGUGAUGGUCCCCUCACAAAAAAAAUGACUCCAUAUGGAGAACCCUGGUAUCUGCGAAUAUUUGACCAGAUAUUAUCAGGCAUCUUUUCUGAUCUGGUUGCCGAGGAACUUACCUGCAGACAUGUGCAGAAGAGUGUAGCCAUUCUACAUAGAAUUGUUUCUUUGCUUAAGUCUUUCCUUGAAAUUUCUCUUUACAUGUGGCUGAAUAAAACACAAGAUUGCUCAUCCAAUGUGAACUACGAACCCAGUGCUUAAAACCAAAUCAAUGCAGAAAUGGGCUGAAGUAUUUGCUCAAAGCAUUUUUAUCAGUCAAAGGCAAGAUAUAUACAUUACAAUUUUACACCACAAGGAAACAACCACUGAGUACUUGAGAUGUCCACAAAAAAAAAAAAAAAAAAAAGUAAAAUGAAUGUAUUAAACCGAGUUCAUAGUUAUGUAAUUUUCUAACCAAAAUGACAUCCAAAUCCUUCCAAAAUAAGCAUGUCUCCAAAAUGUCUUCUUUCCCAAAAUAUUCUUAUGUAUCAAGCUUUUCUCUGAAAUGUAGUGCUGAAAAAUAGAAGAAAAUCCAUGUGCCAUUUGAGGGUUCUUUUCCCUUCUUCUGCACCCUUUCUCAUCAUGGACUGUAUUGGCAACUUUGGUUAGCUUGGCUGCUUCCUUUUUAAUCCAUGGAAAACUAAACUUGGCCAAAUUUUGCUCACUGUAGUUUGUUCCCUCUUCCUUUUCCACACUGUCUCAACUUUCCUGGCUCACAUGUUAUAUAAGCUGAAGGAGUCCGAGUUAAUUCCUCACAAAUCUGCAUGGGAGGAAAGGGACAAGAAGGUAAUGGUAAACCAGCCACAAAUGAUAUUGUUCACAGCUAUAGAUCCAUAGAGCAGGUGGCGUGUGCAAUGGAUGCCUUUAUGUUUCCUCAUGCAGAUGAUUUGGUAGCACAUGACUAAGCCCUGAGUGCAGACACAUGGCUCUGGAGACAUUUUCUCAGUUUAUGGGGUGAGGGCAAAAAGCAGAAUAUAUAUUUCAGAGCAUGUUAGGUAUUUCUUAAAUACUUGAUGGUACAUAUACUGAGUGUUUAGCACAUGCAUUAUGUCUCAAAGUAUUCAUGCAUGGAUAUUUACUUUUAUUAUUUAUAGACCAGUUACAACAUCCAGCUCACUUCCAAGCAUCAAGAGUAAAUCUAUAUUUCACACUUAUUUUUAUAACUGAUAGUAAAUCUUGUAGAUGGUGUGAGUAUUAUGAAACUUGUCUGACCUUGAGCAAGAAGAAAACCCCACAGGAAGACUUCUAUCUCAGAAAGCAUCUAGGUGUGCCUGAAAAUUGUUGCUUAUUUGCAGCCAGAGACUGUUUGAAUCUACCCUAGGUUCCUUAUUGAAAUGCAAGAACACACAAUCUUAACCCCAAAAUCUCAAAGCCAGAAAUAUUUUCUUUCACAGUGGAUUGAGCAAGGUGUGGGGCCGGAGUUUUUUGGAAAGGGUUUAAUCAUGGUUCACCAAGAAAUGUACACAUCAGCAUUAAACAUCCACAUCCAACUGAAAUAUCAACAUUAGGAAGAACACCAGUACUGUAUUCUGUGGCUUGCACUCCACUGCAGGCUUGUGCUGCUCAAAAAUAUUCCACAUGGCUCUCUUUUCCUUGUGCCAAUGCUGCUCUAAAGAAUCAGAAGACUGCCAGUAAAAAAAGAAGCCAGUUAGAACUGCCAGAGACUAACAGAUGUUAAAGCUGGGAGAAAAUCAUCUGCAAUCAUCUAUGAUGAUAUAAAACAAGGAAUUUCCCCAAGGCUAUCAAUCUAUAAUUACAAAAACUGAAGACACAUAAAUAUUUUUCAGGUAAUUUGCACCUGGAAUUUUAGCUCUCUACAUUAGUUGAAAGCUAUGCUUGAACAAUUCUGCAUGAUACACCUUUUCAAGGCUCUGAAAGGCAAAGUGGCAUGACCAUGUGCCUGAAUCCUCUUUCUUCUAAAAGAGAUUUGCUACAUUCAGAACACACGUGGCAGAAACAGUUCCUGAAAUACAAUCUGUUGUAAUUAUGUGGUCUGAGGGUGAUGGUUCAUCACUGAGAAUAUGAACAGUAUAGAUGGUGAUGGACCAGCACUGUGACAUAUGCUACAGCCCUAUUUAGCUUGCUCAUGUGGUUGUAGUGAGAUAGACUAUGUCAUAUCAGGUACAUAGCAGAACAAAUGUUUUCUGAAAACGUCUUAAGUUUGGUGUUUUUAGAGGAACAGCCUUGAGCUAAUGGUGUUAAGGCUCCUUUGUGCAAGUAAAAUUCUAAAAGCUGGGUGCAUAUUUAAGUUUCAACUCCUUUUAUGUUAUCUUGUGAUAGUGACUUGUAUUCAAGACAAACUGAACCUUUACUUGCUGCAAGAUAAACAUUUCUCUUUACAUGUGCAUAUAUGGAAUGUUUAUCCUGAAGUAGUGCUAAGAUCACUGAUUGGGAGAUAAUAUCUGCUGGGAGGCAAAUUCAUUCUAAUCAUGCAGUAGUCCACUGUCUCUGGAAGUACUGGUCAGUGCUAGGUUAAAAACAGUAUCAGAUGGGGCAAAAAAUUAAACAUUACGGAAAAUCUCUACUGUAUCAAGAAUGCACUGAGGCUCUAGAGGACUACUUUUGCUGAUCAUUGUGUGGGGUACUGAGUAUAAAGCACUAUAUUCUGAUAGAAAUUUGUUCUCUUUUUCUAUCAAAAAAAUGUUCUACCUUUGAGAAUAUACGGACAUUAAAUUUGCUGUGCUGCAUCAGAAUGGAAUUUCGUGUGGAACAGACCUCACCUGGGUUUAUUAAAAAACAGCCAUGACCAGGGAAUGGACAGUAGAUGACAGUCUUGGAACCUUUUGCCUGUCUUGCAAGUCAUAGUUUGGUGAUUUCCUAAACAGAAGGCAACAGGUAAUUCUGCAUGCAUAAGACUUCUUCCUCUGAAGGUUCUUCCUUUGAAAAAUCUAUUUGACCAUUUCUUUAUGGAUUUGUUAGAGUUUUGGCCUUCAUAAAAUCCACUGAGUUUCCUGAUUAAAUUAUGGAUUCAGUAGAGGAGACUUUCUUUUGGUCAUUUAAAUCUCCACUUGAUCUUUUCACUUAUGAUGAGCAUCAUGGUAAACAAUCACGUAUUCCUCUUCACCAUGCUACUGAUGAUAUGGAAGAACCCUGUCACUGCAAUCUCUCUUUUCCUACACUUUCCUGGUUAUGUCUUUUAUGGAUAAUUCUUCCAUACCUAUAGUCACCACCUUUGCAUUGUGUGCAACUUUACUUGUUUUACUUGUUUACUUGUUACAUUUUAUCUUUUUUUUUGGGGGGGGCAGGACACUCAGAACUUCACAUAAGAGAAGUAAUCAUAGAUUUGUAAAAGGCAUAAAGAGAAGGUUAUGAAAGAAGUCAGAACACUCAUUUGCCCGCAGUGGAGUAAAGAACUAUUUCUACAGAUACAAAUACUUAAUGCUAGUUUUCCCUUCCCAAAUAUUAAUAAGUAGAAAACCUUAUUACAAAGAAAAAUAUAAACCUGUUCAAAAAUGCAUCCAUCAAAAGCAAUAUACAAUUCUUCUGUGGAAGUAUAGGAAAACUGUGAUACAAGAAGUCAAAUAUUCCGAAGAUCACACAACUUCACAUUAAUUUCUCAAAAUUUCCAUAGGAGAAAUGCAGACUUUUUAGCCAAACCUUUAUAAUCAUCUUCCAUCAACUUAAAUAACUGAUGUUUAGCAGUAAAUUCAUGGGAGCUGCAAGUGUUCAAACUCUGGAAAAAUUUGGCCUCUUUUAGAAUUUGACCCUGAAAAUAGUGAAGCUAGUGAAUGAGUCACUUUAAAGAGAGCUUUUGAGCAUGUAAUGGUAACCAUGUGGGCCUGUGUACUAAUGUCAAUUCAUCGUUUCUUUAUCCCACUGUUCAGUAAUAGCAGUUCAACCCAGGAUCUGUGAUGUAAGCCUAAAACCCUAUAAUGCUCUCAUUCAGUGAUAAAAAAUCUUCAAUAAAUGGAUCCUUCCAAAAUACCAAAGUAGAGAUCAGCAAGUGGGCAUAUUCUUCCUUGUACUCAUGUAUUGUAUUUUCUGAGGGAUGCUCCAAAAGUAAUGCCUUCUAUUUUAUUAUUUUGGCUCAUAAUGUCAGAAGCAGAU